rnacentral:rRNA from 1 species
CCCUUAGAUGUUCUGGGCGGCCCGCGCACUACAUUGGCACUGGCAACAAGAUCCUAGAUCUGGUAUUUCGGGGUAUUCUACCAACUGGUGUCGUGACUGGGAUUAACCCCUGCAAUUAUUGGUUAUGAACGAGGAAUUCCUUGUAAUCACGGUUUAUCAACCCGUGUUGAAUGCGUCCCUGCCCUUUGUACACACCGCCCGUCGCACCUACCGAUUGAAUGGUCCGGUGAAAUCUUCGGAUCUGAGAGAUGUCUGAUUAAUUUCGGACGCCUUUUGGAAAAGUUGCUUAAACCUUACCAUUUAGAGGAAGGUGAAGUCGUAACA